GACGAACGCUGACGGUGUGCUUUAGACAUGCAAGUCGAACGAGAAAGCCCUUCGGGUUAGUAAAGUAGGCGAACGGGUGAGUAACACGUGGGCAAUCUGCCCCUCGCAGGGGGACGAGCCGGAGGAAACUCCGGCUAAUACCCCGUAAGUUCAAAGGGAGACAUCUCUCUUCGAAGAAAGGUAGCUUCGGCCAUCCGGCGAGGGAUGAGCCCGCGGUGCAUUAGCUAGUUGGUGGGGUAACGGCCUACCAAGGCGACGAUGCAUAGCUGGUCUGAGAGGAUGAUCAGCCACACUGGGACUGAGACACGGCCCAGACUCCUACGGGAGGCAGCAGUGGGGGAAUCUUGCGCAAUGGGCGAAAGCCUGACGCAGCGACGCCGCGUGAGGGAUGACGGCCUGG
rnacentral:rRNA from 1 species